GAUGAACGCUGGCGGCGUGCCUAAUACAUGCAAGUCGAGCGAACAGACGAGGAGCUUGCUCCUCUGACGUUAGCGGCGGACGGGUGAGUAACACGUGGAUAACCUACCUAUAAGACUGGGAUAACUUCGGGAAACCGGAGCUAAUACCGGAUAAUAUAUUGAACCGCAUGGUUCAAUAGUGAAAGACGGUUUUGCUGUCACUUAUAGAUGGAUCCGCGCCGCAUUAGCUAGUUGGUAAGGUAACGGCUUACCAAGGCAACGAUGCGUAGCCGACCUGAGAGGGUGAUCGGCCACACUGGAACUGCGACACGGUCCAGACUCCUACGGGAGGCAGCAGUAGGGAAUCUUCCGCAAUGGGCGAAAGCCUGACGGAGCAACGCCGCGUGAGUGAUGAAGGUCUUCGGAUCGUAAAACUCUGUUAUUAGGGAAAAACAAAUGUGUAAGUAACUAUGCACGUCUUGACGGUACCUAAUCAGAAAGCCACGGCUAACUACGUG
rnacentral:rRNA from 1 species